rnacentral:rRNA from 1 species
AACGCUGGCGGCGUGCUUAACACAUGCAAGUCGAACGGAACACCCUUGACAGAGGUUCGGCCAAUGAAGAGGAAUGUUUAGUGGCGGACUGGUGAGUAACGCGUGAGGAACCUGCCUUUCAGAGGGGGACAACAGUUGGAAACGACUGCUAAUACCGCAUGAAGCAGCGGGGGGACAUCCCCCUUGCUGUCAAAGAUUUAUCGCUGAAAGAUGGCCUCGCGUCUGAUUAGCUAGUUGGUGGGGUAACGGCCCACCAAGGCGACGAUCAGUAGCCGGACUGAGAGGUUGACCGGCCACAUUGGGACUGAGAUACGGCCCAGACUCCUACGGGAGGCAGCAGUGGGGAAUAUUGGGCAAUGGACGCAAAGUCUGACCCAGCAACGCCGCGUGAAGGAAGAAGGCUUUCGGGUUGUAAACUUCUUUUAACAGGGAAGAGAAGAAGACGGUACCUGUUGAAUAAGCCACGGCUAACUACGUGCCAGCCGCUGC